UACGUAGGGGCGAGCGUUGUCCGGAUUUACUGGGCGUAAAGGGUGAGUAGGCGGUUAUAUAUGUCAGGUGUAAAAGGCUAUGGCUUAACCAUGGUUAGCACUUGAAACUGUAUGACUUGAGUGCAGGAGAGGUAAGUGGAAUUCCUAGUGUAGCGGUGAAAUGCGUAGAUAUUAGGAGGAACACCAGUGGCGAAGGCGACUUACUGGACUGUAACUGACGCUGAGUCACGAAAGCGUGGGUAGCAAACAGGAUUAGAUACCCGUGUAGUCCCU
rnacentral:rRNA from 1 species